GGUCCUUUGAAAUAUCUGGAAGCCACUCUGACAUUGUACUCCUGGCCAGGGUGAUAGAACUCAGCCAAACCCCAAUCUAUUAGUCUAAGCUUUCUGUGCUCAUGAUCAAUCAUGACGUUGUGAGGUUUCACAUCUCUGUGCAUGAUUCCCAUGCUAUGGCAGUAAUCUAGAGCCUUCAAAAUCUCAUACAUGUAGAAUCGAAUAUCAUAAUCUGUUAAUGUCUGGUAUAAUUGCUUAAAGUCUGUGUUGUUUACAUGUUCAAAAACCAAAGCAGGGGUCCGAGACACAGGAUCUUUUACUAUAUCUGCAAGAGUGAUUAUAUUGGGACCGCCUCGCAAGUUUUCUAAGAUCUUGAUUUCACGCUUGAUUUUCUUCUUUUUAACAGGCUUGAGAAUUUUAACAACUACUUUUUCAUUAUUUGUAAUGUUGAUGGCUUCAAAUACUUCACUGUAUUUGCCUCGGCCUAAUUUUCGAACUAGCUGGUAGUCAUCUUGAUUUCCCCACUCAACCACAUGCGACUCGUAGUCCCAGUACUCCCGGGGUCUGUGUGUGUUCACAUCCGUGUAAACCCUGGCCCUGCUCGGCACGGGUCCCGACAUAUCAGACAGGUUGGCAGGUGGAAGUGAUGAGAUGUCUGAAACCAGAGGCUACCCAAUCUCCAAAGUAGGACAGAGGAGAAAGGCCUCAGACAGGCCUCCGG
rnacentral:lncRNA from 1 species